CUUGCACACUGUGGCAAACUGUUGGUUAUUUCCUGCUCCAACUACAAGAUAGCCAUCCUUGGUUUUAAAGGCCUAAAAAGGAAAAUCCAAAACUACCUUGAGCUG